GUACUCGCUUAGAUGGUGGUUCAUAUACUAAUAUUAGAACGAUACAGAGGAGAACAGAUACAUAGCAUGGCCCCUGCACAAGGAUGACACGCAAAAUCGUGAAGAGUUCCAUAGUUUU
rnacentral:snRNA from 1 species